rnacentral:rRNA from 1 species
UGUUAACUUGCCACUCCAAGUUCAACAAGAAAGCAAAACAUCCAGCUCGACAGAACCAUGAUGGCAAACAAGUACUCGGCUAGCUCGGUUCGGCUGAUGCUGGUCCUCCUGGUUUUACUGGUUUUCAUUGGUGGCAUCCUCGGGCAACAAGGUGGACCGUCCACCUGCGACAACUCUGGACCGGUUCAGAAGAGCUGCCCGCCAAUCCGUGGUGGCUCAUAAGUAUGAGAUAGACGAUUUCUACGCAGCGGGAUUUGGUAGGAUCUCGCAUUGGCCGGCGUAGGAAGCUUUCUAUUCUAUGUAAACGAUAAUAUAUAUGAUCUUGAGGUGUUGGUGUGUGUAUGUUUGUAUUUUCACCUGG